AUUGAACGCUGGCGGCAGGCCUAACACAUGCAAGUCGAAUGGUAACAGGAAACAGCUUGCUGUUUCGCUGACGAGUGGCGGACGGGUGAGUAAUGUCUGGGAAACUGCCUGAUGGAGGGGGAUAACUACUGGAAACGGUAGCUAAUACCGCAUAACGUCGCAAGACCAAAGAGGGGGACCUUCGGGCCUCUUGCCAUCAGAUGUGCCCAGAUGGGAUUAGCUAGUAGGUGGGGUAACGGCUCACCUAGGCGACGAUCCCUAGCUGGUCUGAGAGGAUGACCAGCCACACUGGAACUGAGACACGGUCCAGACUCCUACGGGAGGCAGCAGUGGGGAAUAUUGCACAAUGGGCGCAAGCCUGAUGCAGCCAUGCCGCGUGUAUGAAGAAGGCCUUCGGGCUGUAAAGUACUUUCAGCGGGGAGGAAGGGAGUAAAGUUAAUACCUUUGCUCAUUGACGUUACCCGCAGAAGAAGCACCGGCUAACUCCGUG
rnacentral:rRNA from 1 species